GUAGGAAGGAAGAGGAGUGGAACGAGAAGAUCAUCAGAGGUCUGAUGAAACUGCCUCCGAAUCGGAGAUGCAUCAACUGCAAUAGCCUGGGGCCACAAUAUGUUUGUACGAAUUUCUGGACUUUCGUAUGUACAAUUUGUAGUGGAAUACAUCGUGAGUUUACUCACCGUGUGAAGUCUGUAUCAAUGGCUAAGUUCACUUCGCAAGAAGUUGAUGCUCUUCAAAGAGGUGGCAAUCAG